UGUCUAGAAUAAUCAAAUUCGCCUUAAAUUCAUGCUCGCCCAAUCGAAUCAUGCUAUCUUGAUACACCUUUUCAGCAAGUAAUGACCCUCCGGUAGGUGUACUAACAACUAAACCAUAAUCCAGCAAUUCAGGCUCUCUCUCUAGAUGCAUACUAAAUGUGCGAGAAACAAAAGAAUGCGUGGAUCCAGGAUCAAUAAGAAUAUGAGCAUCAUGACCAAAGAUAGAUAAUGUACCCAUAAUAACUUCUGGUGUAGCAUGAGCCUCCUGCUGUGUCAAGGCAAAAACUCGAGCCUGAGUACGAGGUCGACCAGGUUGACCUCUCUGACUUGGAAAAGUGGUCUGACUCCUCGAUAUAGAACCCCCUGUCUGCAUACCCCUCUGACCCGGAACUGGUCCAACAUGAGAUUGAUACUGUGGGGCUGCCCCUCGAGCAGAAUUGUCACCCUGAGAUAAAGUAGGGCAUAAUCUCUUAAUAUGUCCAGGUUGUCCACAUAAAUAACACACAUUGUCUCCGAUACGGCACUGGCCCUGAUGGUUCCUACCACACGUAGGGCAAGGAGUCUGUUGUAUACUCCUACGGGGUCCUUCGCUAUUCCUGUCAUACUGCCCCUGAGUCCUAACAUUACUCCCCACUGAAGGCUGCGCCGAACCUGGUUUAUUGAACACAACUUCCUUUUUAAAACAAUCCACUGUAGCAUGGUGAGACACAAGCCAAUCCAUGCCCAAAAUGGCAUCAAAAUCUUGAAUGUCUAGAAUAAUCAAAUUCGCCUUAAAUUCAUGCUCGCCCAAUCGAAUCAUGCUAUCUUGAUACACCUUUUCAGCAAGUAAUGACCCUCCGGUAGGUGUACUAACAACUAAACCAUAAUCCAGCAAUUCAGGCUCUCUCUCUAGAUGCAUACUAAAUGUGCGAGAAACAAAAGAAUGCGUGGAUCCAGGAUCAAUAAGAAUAUGAGCAUCAUGACCAAAGAUAGAUAAUGUACCCAUAAUAACUUCUGGUGUAGCAUGAGCCUCCUGCUGUGUCAAGGCAAAAACUCGAGCCUGAGUACGAGGUCGACCAGGUUGACCUCUCUGACUUGGAAAAGUGGUCCAGGUUGUCCACAUAAAUAACACACAUUGUCUCCGAUACGGCAUUGGCCCUGAUGGUUCCUACCACACGUAGGGCAAGGAGUCUGUUGUAUACUCCUACGGGGUCCUCCGCUAUUCCUGUCAUACUGCCCCUGAGUCCUAACAUUACUCCCCACUGAAGGCUGCGCCGAACUGUAACUAGCGGAUUGUCUCUGAUCUCCCCUGCUACUCAUACUCUGAUUCCU
rnacentral:lncRNA from 1 species